rnacentral:rRNA from 1 species
CAAUAGCGUAUAUUAAAGUUGUUGCGGUUAAAAAGCUCGUAGUUGGAUUUCUGCUGAGAACGACCGGUCCGCCCUUUGGGUGUGUAUCUGGCUCUUUCUUGGCUUCUUCUUGGUGAACGUUGCUGCACUUGACUGUGUGGAGCGCUACCCAGGACUUUUACUUUGAGGAAAUUAGAGUGUUUCAAGCAGGCAUACGCCUUGAAUACAUUAGCAUGGAAUAAUAAGAUAGGACCUCGGUUCUAUUUUGUUGGUUUCUAGAGCUGAGGUAAUGAUUAAUAGGGAUAGUUGGGGGCAUUCGUAUUUAACUGUCAGAGGUGAAAUUCUUGGAUUUGUUAAAGACGGACUACUGCGAAANCANNNGCCAAGGAUGUUUUCAUNGA